UGGGGAAUAUUGGACAAUGGGCGAAAGCCUGAUCCAGCCAUGCCGCGUGUGUGAAGAAGGUCUUCGGAUUGUAAAGCACUUUAAGUUGGGAGGAAGGGCAGUAAGCGAAUACCUUGCUGUUUUGACGUUACCGACAGAAUAAGCACCGGCUAACUCUGUGCCAGCAGCCGCGGUAAUACAGAGGGUGCAAGCGUUAAUCGGAAUUACUGGGCGUAAAGCGUGCGUAGGCGGCUAAUUGAGUCGGAUGUGAAAUCCCCGAGCUUAACUUGGGAAUUGCAUUAGAUACUGGUUAGCUAGAGUGUGGGAGAGGAUGGUAGAAUUCCAGGUGUAGCGGUGAAAUGCGUAGAGAUCUGGAGGAAUACCGAUGGCGAAGGCAGCCAUCUGGCCUAACACUGACGCUGAGGUACGAAAGCAUGGGGAGCAAACAGG
rnacentral:rRNA from 1 species